UCCUUGGAGGACUGGCGGUUAGGCCACAGCGCUCCCAGUGCUGUGGUCUGGGUUCAAUUCCUGGCCAGGGAA